AAAAAGCCAAACCCUAGGUUUUCAUGUCCAACUUUAAAUUUUUUUUAUAAUUUGUAUUUUCAUUGUUGUUAGAUGAUAAAAUAUGAUUAAUAUUUUAUGCGUGACUUGUCUUUUUAAUUUUUUUAUAAUUUUUUCAAAUAAAACGGAUGGUCAAUGUUGGACACAGAAACCAGGGUUUGUCUUUUU
rnacentral:pre_miRNA from 1 species